rnacentral:rRNA from 1 species
GACGAACGCUGGCGGCGUGCUUAACACAUGCAAGUCGAACGGUAAGGCCCUUCGGGGUACACGAGUGGCGAACGGGUGAGUAACACGUGGGUGAUCUGCCCUGCACUUCGGGAUAAGCCUGGGAAACUGGGUCUAAUACCGGAUAGGACCACUGCCUGCAUGAGUGGUGGUGGAAAGCUUUUGCGGUGUGGGAUGGGCCCACGGCCUAUCAGCUUGUUGGUGGGGUGAUGGCCUACCAAGGCGACGACGGGUAGCCGGCCUGAGAGGGUGACCGGCCACACUGGGACUGAGAUACGGCCCAGACUCCUACGGGAGGCAGCAGUGGGGAAUAUUGCACAAUGGGCGCAAGCCUGAUGCAGCGACGCCGCGUGAGGGAUGACGGCCUUCGGGUUGUAAACCUCUUUCAGCACCGACGAAGCGCAAGUGACGGUAGGUGCAGAAGAAGGACCGGCCAACUACGUGCCAGCCGCCGCUGUAA